UGCCAUAUCUCGUUGAAACACCGGUUCUCGGACGAUCACUGAAAUUAAGCAACAUCGAGCUUGGUCAAUACCUAGAUGGGUGACCGUUAGGAAGUACCAGAUGCUGUAAG